rfam:Peptococcaceae bacterium CEB3 CEB3_contig000047, whole genome shotgun sequence.
CAAAUUCUUCGUUAGGUGAGGCUUCUACACAGACACAGGCCGCUGCCCGGAAAGGUCGAGAGACGCUAACGGGUUAACAGGUAUUACCGGAUUAAGGUUUUACUUAACGUGGCUGGGAACAAUCUCUAGCUGUGUACGUGCUAAAACUCAGACGAGUGGGGAAAGGC